GACGAACGCUGGCGGCGUGCUUAACACAUGCAAGUCGAACGGAAAGGCCCUGCUUUUGUGGGGUGCUCGAGUGGCGAACGGGUGAGUAACACGUGAGUAACCUGCCCUUGACUUUGGGAUAACUUCAGGAAACUGGGGCUAAUACCGGAUAGGAGCUCCUGCUGCAUGGUGGGGGUUGGAAAGUUUCGGCGGUUGGGGAUGGACUCGCGGCUUAUCAGCUUGUUGGUGGGGUAGUGGCUUACCAAGGCUUUGACGGGUAGCCGGCCUGAGAGGGUGACCGGCCACAUUGGGACUGAGAUACGGCCCAUACUCCUACGGGAGGCAGCAGUGGGGAAUAUUGCACAAGUGGGCGGAAGCCUGAUGCAGCAACGCCGCGUGCGGGAUGACGGCCUUCGGGUUGUAAACCGCUUUCGCCUGUGACGAAGCGUGAGUGACGGUAAUGGGUAAAGAAGCACCGGCUAAGUACGUGCCAACAGCCGCGGUGAUACAUAUGGUGCGAGCGUUGUCCGGAUUUAUUGGGCGUAAAGGGCUCGUAGGUGGUUGAUCGCGUCGGAAGUGUAAUCUUGGGGCUUAACCCUGAGCGUGCUUUCGAUACGGGUUGACUUGAGGAAGGUAGGGGAGAAUGGAAUUCCUGGUGGAGCGGUGGAAUGCGCAGAUAUCAGGAGGAACACCAGUGGCGAAGGCGGUUCUCUGGGCCUUUCCUGACGCUGAGGAGCGAAAGCGUGGGGAGCGAACAGGCUUAGAUACCCUGGUAGUCCACGCUGUAAACGGUGGGUACUAGGUGUGGGGUCCAUUCCACGGGUUCCGCGCCGUAGCUAACGCUUUAAGUACCCCGCCUGGGGAGUACGGCCGCAAGGCUAAAACUCAAAGGAAUUGACGGGGCCCCGCACAAGCGGCGGAGCAUGCGGAUUAAUUCGAUGCAACGCGUAGAACCUUACCUGGGUUUGACAUGGAUCGGGAGUGCUCAGAGAUGGGUGUGCCUCUUUUGGGGUCGGUUCACAGGUGGUGCAUGGCUGUCGUCAGCUCGUGUCGUGAGAUGUUGGGUUAAGUCCCGCAACGAGCGCAACCCUUGUUCACUGUUGCCAGCACGUUAUGGUGGGGACUCAGUGGAGACCGCCGGGGUCAACUCGGAGGAAGGUGGGGAUGACGUCAAGUCAUCAUGCCCCUUAUGUCCAGGGCUUCACGCAUGCUACAAUGGCUGGUACAGAGAGUGGCGAGCCUGUGAGGGUGAGCGAAUCUCGGAAAGCCGGUCUCAGUUCGGAUUGGGGUCUGCAACUCGACCUCAUGAAGUCGGAGUCGCUAGUAAUCGCAGAUCAGCAACGCUGCGGUGAAUACGUUCCCGGG
rnacentral:rRNA from 1 species